rnacentral:rRNA from 1 species
UAAUGCGGACGUUGGCGGGUGGUUAAACAUGCAGUCGAACGGCCCUUCGGGUUAGUGGCGGCGGGUGAGUAACACGUGGGAACGUGCCUUUAGGUUCGGAAUAGCUCCUGGAAACGGGUGGUAAUGCCGAAUGUGCCCUUCGGGGGAAAGAUUUAUCGCCUUUAGAGCGGCCCGCGUCUGAUUAGCUAGUUGGUGAGGUAACGGCUCACCAAGGCGACGAUCAGUAGCUGGUCUGAGAGGAUGACCAGCCACACUGGGACUGAGACACGGCCCAGACUCCUACGGGAGGCAGCAGUGGGGAAUCUUGCGCAAUGGGCGAAAGCCUGACGCAGCCAUGCCGCGUGAAUGAUGAAGGUCUUAGGAUUGUAAAAUUCUUUCACCGGGGACGAUAAUGACGGUACCCGGAGAAGAAGCCCCGGCUAACUUCGUGCCAGCUGCCGCGGGAAUACGAAGGGGGCUAGCGUUGCUCGGAAUUACUGAGCGUAAAGGGCGCGUAGGCGGAUCGUUAAGUCAGAGGUGACAUCCCAGGGCUCAACCCUGGAACUGCCUAUGAUACUGGCGAUCUUGAGUAUGAGAGAGGUAUGUGGAACUCCGAGUGUAGAGGUGAAAUUCGUAGAUAUUCGGAAGAACGCCAGUGGCGAAGGCGACAUACUGGUUCAUUACUGACGCUGAGGCGCGAAAGCGUGGGGAGCAAACAGAAUUAUAUACCCUGAAGUCCACGCCGUAAACGAUGAUUCGCUAGUUGUCGGGCUGCAUGUGCUCGUGACGCAGCUAACGCAUCUAAGCAUCGCUGGG